UGCUUUGACUGUAUAGAUAGUAAAUAAUAGAAAUAGAUAUGGUUAAUUUCAUAGCAGUCCUUGAGAGUUUCCUUUCCCCAGUUUUCUCUCGUUCCAUCUUCUUCCCUGCUUUGCUCUUGGCAGACUAGAACCUUCAUUGCAUCCCAGCAAGAAACCUUGACCCGUCUCUCUGCUACCAGGAUGAAUCCUGAAUUCUUCACCGCUUUUAUAACCUUCUUGUCUCUUAUUCCUGAUCUUCUCGCGAUUUGAUAUUUUACAGUUCUUCUGAUUGGCUCGUCUAGCCAUCUCCAAGCCCCGCUUUGCAUCAUGUCUGUGCCGAUAGUUAGGGAGGAACAGAACUCAAUUACCCUAUCCAGUUCUUCUGAAGUCCAACUUAUGAUCUGUGGUGGGAUGAUGAACGGGGGGGAUGUGGCCAUUACAGAAGAGAGCACUAUCAGGUGUCAACCAACUACCGGUCUGCUGCACACAAAAAAGAAAAGAUAAUAGACACGAUAAUUUCAUGAAUUCUUUCCAACUAUGGAUUUGAUGAAUUCUUUCAUAAUGAUUAGAUGAAGGUGACUGUGUUGCUGAGUUGCAGGUGGAUGGAUGGAUUUCGAGCAUUAAAUCCGGCUGUCGGGAUUAAACAGAGGUUCGCCGCUUGGGUUUUAAAACUGCUGUCUUACUUGUCAAAUUUGGUGGGAGUUGACAUGUUCUGUAGAUGGUAUAUUCAAUUCUGGUGGUCCUGUCGGUAAAGAGUAUUAUGGAGGAUUAUACAGAAAUCAUCUCUCUUUCAUAGAAGAUAAGAGAUGGACUGAUAUUGUUGAGGACGCGAAAAAUAUUUUUGAUGUAGAGUUCAUAGCUACUAUUAAAACUUUACAGUAUUUUGUUGCACAAGGGCAUUAUAAGCAAUAUAAGAAGUUGUUAGUGCAAUGCGACAAUUAUGAGGCAGUGCACUUUGCGAAUAAAACUAGACUUGCUACUACUGAGAACCGUGUUAAACUGAUUAUGUUAGUAAUUUUAAAAUAUAUGUUAGUGUUCUUUUUUCUAA